UGGGUAAUAUUGGACAAUGGGCGAAAGCCUGAUCCAGCCAUGCCGCGUGUGUGAAGAAGGUCUUCGGAUUGUAAAGCUCUUUAAGUUGGGAGGAAGGGCAGUAAGCGAAUACCUUGCUGUUUUGACGUUACCGACAGAAUAAGCACCGGCUAACUCUGUGCCAGCAGCCGCGGUAAUACAGAGGGUGCAAGCGUUAAUCGGAAUUACUGGGCGUAAAGCGCGCGUAGGUGGUUCGUUAAGUUGAAUGUGAAAGCCCCGGGCUCAACCUGGGAACUGCAUCCAAAACUGGCGAGCUAGAGUAGGGCAGAGGGUGGUGGAGUUUCCUGUGUAGCAGUGAAAAGCGUAGCGAUAGGAAAGAACACCAAUGGCGAAGGCGACCACCUGGGCUCAUACUGACACUGAGGUGCGAAAGCGUGGGGAGCAAACAGG
rnacentral:rRNA from 1 species